CGGGAUGUAGUUUAGUGGUAGAAUUCGCGGCUGGGGGCCGUGAGGUCUGGGUUCGAUUCCCCGCAUCCCGACCA
rnacentral:tRNA from 1 species